GCCGCUUCGAGUGGAGAGGAUACUAGAGGAAGGGAAGCACAGUUGGGACAUCAUAUUUCUUCUGCAGCAGCAGCCUUUACCAGUAGGAUAUUCCAGAUGUCCAUCGUCUCUUAGACAAGUACACCAAAAGUGUGCGCAACCUUCCUCAGGAUGAUGUAGACUCAUAGAGUGAAAUGUAUCCAUUGUGAUAGUGCCUGUGAAAACCCCGUAACAAAGUAGAAUUGCUUCAGUUCUGGGACAAACAACCAAGAGGACUUUACAAAUAUUAAAUCACAUGAUGCUGAACUCAAGGAUUCUUGUGAAUUUUCUUUGGGAAUGGCAAAACAUGCAAAUGUCUGAAAGAUGGAGAUAACUGUAAUUGUAUAUUUAGCAAAUAAUAUAAGCAUGUAAAAUAAAAAAUGGAGAGUGAAGGAAGGAGAACAAUAUGCUACUUUCCCUGGCUUGGGGCAGGUAUGUUUAAUAUAGGAGGCCAAUGUUUUGUCCUCUGGUUUCCACUGCUUGUAAGUAAGUUUGCAAUAUUGUGGGCCUAUUAAUAAGUAAAUAAAUACAUUUAAGUUAUCCAUAUCAGAAAUUAAGCAACCUUUCUGUAAUAUAUAAAAAUAAAAAUGUAAAUGCUUUGUACUUGCAAUUUUCCCACUUUCUCUGUGUUAUGAGAUAGUAAUGAAUCAAAUCGUGUAGUAACACUGCUGUAAGCAUUUUGUCCACUAAUUAUAUAACCAAGUUGUAUGGUUGUCAAGCUAUGGCAAUCUGAGGGCAAUUUCAAAAAGAACAGAGGGAAUUUUCUAUAUCUCAUGGAAAAAGUCAU